rnacentral:piRNA from 1 species
UGCUCAGAGUCGUUGUAAUGGUCAGGGAGG